rnacentral:rRNA from 1 species
CCUACGGGUGGCAGCAGUGAGGAAUAUUGGUCAAUGGUCGUGAGUCUGAACCAGCCAAGUAGCGUGCAGGAUGACUGCCCUAUGGGUUGUAAACUUCUUUUAUAUGGGAAUAAAAUGUUCCACGUGUGGGAUUUUGUAUGUACCAUAUGAAUAAGGACCGGCUAAUUCCGUGCCAGCAGCCGCGGUAAUACGGAGGAUCCGAGCGUUAUCCGGAUUUAUUGGGUUUAAAGGGAGCGUAGGUGGAAUGUUAAGCCAGUUGUGAAAGUCCGCGGCUCAACCGUAACAUUGCAGUGGAAACUGGCAGUCUUGAGUACAGUAGAGGUGGGCGGAAUUCGUGGUGUAGCGGUGAAAUGCUUAGAUAUCACGAAGAACUCCGAUUGCGAAGGCAGCACACGGGACUGCAACUGACACUGAAGCUCGAAGGUGUGGGUAUCGAACAGGAUUAGAUACCCCGGUAGUC